AAGAGAAUUAACCCUGUUCUUCACAUUCUCACAAACAAACGGCAACGGCGAUUAGGGUUUCUACAGUUUCAAUCUUACAUCUCCCUCUCAUUGCAUCCCUAAAUAUCGUAUGGCUUCGUCACCAAGUGUUACGAAUCUCAUCUUCUUGAUACUCAUGCUCCACCUGCUAUGAAACUCAUCCUCUUCAAUGUCGCAACAUCUUUCGCUUCGAUUUGUUCAAAUCACAGGUUCAAAAUGUUGCUUGAGUAUAGGCAUGAGGAUAAGGCCGCUAAAAAGUAACACCAUUUGAAAAAAGCCCAGGCCAAGUGUGAAGGAAAAAAACUGUUGAAGCAAAGAAGCCUAUUGUUGUGAAAGAUGGUCUCAAUCAGGGUUUGCUGUGACUGAUUCAAUCAAGAACAGAGGUUUUGCAUCUUUUUACAAUGGUGGCGGCUAUGGUUUUGAUACGCUUUCUUCUGAGGUGUUUCUGACCGUAUGGGUCAUGAACUUACUGCUGCGGAUGUGUCAAUUGUUGUUGUUGUUGAUAUCAUAUUUUCUAGACUAGAAGAGGCUUCUUUAUCUGAACAUGGAAGCAACAUUGCAGCAAAGACCCUGCGACAAUGUACAAAAUCCAGAAACUUAUCCAAAAGGACACAAUGCUAAAAACCAAGCCCUGUUGGAGUUUUUUACAGCCAAACCCUGUUGGAGAGACGACGUCUUACAUACCAGACAUAGGAAGAAUUUGACCAAUUGUUCUUACAUCCAUGUCGCAUUAGGCAUGAAUCAACUGUAGUAGCAUUGCUGAAGCUGAUGUAGGAAAUUAGUGAAGCAAAGAAAUGGAGCUACUGUGGAUCAAGUAACGGGUCAAAAUUGACAAGCAUUCAAAGGCUCUUGCAUCAAUCAUCUAGAUGUCAACUUUACUGAAAUAGAUGCAGAGGUCUAUUUCUAUAUAAAAAACUGGCAUGUGUUGUAUUUAACUAGCCUUGCAAUAUGAUUUUAUAAUUUUCGACUGUCAUGCAAAACAAUCCGUUGUUGUCACAAAACUAGGAAUCAAAACACUGUCAUGUGUCGUAUUAUUAUGGCCAGCUUUAUGAUAAGACUAUUUGUUUGAGUAUUGGUUUUCAGCCAGGGUUAUUGUUCUUAGAAAUGGAAUUGUCGUACAUACCCUGGUAAGGUUUCAAGAUCUUGGAGGAAAAGACAAUUUUAGCACCAGGAAGCUAGAAUUCAUUGCAGCAUGCAUUUUGCUUCAGCAGGUUGCGUUUUGAAUGUUGCUAAUGGGUCAAACAAUGGAUCCAAUUUUGUUCAGAUUGUAGCUUCAUACCAUGCAUUUCACUCGCCGCCGAUCCUCAUGGGCUCAUUCCCUUUCUAGAUCUGAAUGGAUCGCCACAUUCCCGUUCUUUUACCGCGGUACACGACUCAAUAGUUGCCCAAGAUCUAACGAAACAAUCACAUUUGGUCGUCGAUUCUUCUCCAACGGAAGUCCAACGCUGUUGCCGCUGAACACCAACACUACCAAAGGUUGUAGGGAGUUGAAGUACAGGGUGAUUAGAGAAGAUUGAUAUAACGUUAGUUGGCCACAUACCAGAGAAGACUUGAUGGAGCUUAACUAAAGCUAAUGGAACUGAAGUUGUAGAGAACAGGAUGAAGUGAUAGAAACAAGAUUCUUUCAUUUAGUCUAGAAAUGAUUUGUUAUUUAGUUUUUUGUUAUGUAUUUUUUAUGGUAGUCUAAUGUCUCAAUAGUUCUUUGCUACU